rnacentral:lncRNA from 1 species
CGCUCGCCCCGGGAGGGAGCCCGCGGCCAGGGCUGGACUCUCGCCCCGCCACCUCCACCGACUCUCUCCUCAGCCUCCGCGCCUGGCACCGCAGCAAGACUUGAAUGAAGUGAUCAUGUAAACUAGAGAAAGGAGAUUAAAAAUAACCUCUGGAUAUUCCUCUCAUGUGAUCUUUAUUCUGGAUGAAGCAUUAGGACAGCUAAUAGCCGUGUGUCACUAUGCAUACAAUUGAUUUAAUUCAGAUCUUGUUUUUAAUAUGUAUUCACCAUUGGACAAUGCAUGGUUUCUUUAAAUUUAAUUCAGUUGGAACCUGACGGAUGACUUCGGCCUGCUGGCAUGCUCUUUUCGUUUUACCGUUCCGUGCGUGCUCCAUUCCCCAUAGCCAUCAUCUUGAUUUUGUGUUUAUCAAUCCAUUGCUUUUUUAUAAUUUUCCUGGAUAUACAUAUUUAUCUAAAAAAUAUAACGUUUACAUUUGCUUAUUUUGAAAUUUAUUAGAAAAUAUUAUUCUGCAUGUAAACUUUAGAGUCAUUUUUUUGCCCAAUAUUUCGUUCCUCAUAUUUAAUCAUAUUAUUACAGAUAGCUGUAAUUGUUAUUGUUUAACACUUCGCUGUGGGAAAAUGAAACAGUCUAUCUAUUCUCCUGUCCAUGGCGUAUGAUUCCUUCUUGAUAUUAUGAUCAGUGCUGGUUUGAAUAUUUUUAUGUCUUCUAGUGUGUAUGUAAUCAACUAUAUAAUCCUGGAAAAUAAUAAAAUGUUUUAAACUGGUCAUUUUUCUCAUACAUCAACUUCAUUUUGGCUUUGCUCAGAAUGAAUUUCUUAGAAAAAAUAGUUAUAAUUAUUAAGAAAACAUUAGAAAAUAUGCUGAUAUUUUUUCUAAAUUAGAUUCUUUUUUUUUUUGUAUAUGAAGAUAUUUCCCUUGAGUUUUUGUCACUUAUCAUCUGUUUUAUUCCCUUGCUUUAUUACUGUUUCAAACGAGACUUUUUUUUUUUGGUUUUGAUUUUGUAUUAGGAAAUCUUACUAAGUUCAUUAGAAUUUAAUCACUUUUUAGAUAUUUUCAGAAGCAUUAACAAGAUAUCAUUGCAUUUUUCAUGGCUUAUUUGACAAUCAUCUAAGUUAACAAGGUCAUUUGAUGAUUAUUAAGACAUUUAUAUGUAGGAGGUAUUCCUCUUUACAUCUUUGUAGAAUUAAGAACCUUAUUGUCUUUCUUUCUUUUUUUUUUUAACAUAGCACUUAACUAAAGUUAAGUAGUAUAAUGCCUAAGAACUAGCAAUCUGAUAUCAACUCUCUAAUGGAAUGAUGCAGGAAAUAAUUUAAAAUUAAAUAUGAGGAGCAAAAGAGAAAAGGAGCAAUUUAAAAUAAAGAAUUAAGACAAGCAUAUUCAUCAAUUAUCACUUGGGCACAGUGGAGGAACUGGCCUGAGGGCUAUUCAAUUUAAAACGUUCCAUAGGUACUAUUGGAUCCCUAAAGCAAAGUAUAAUGAGUUGGUGUCCCAAUUAAAGUAUUGGAAAUGUCAGCAAGCUGAAAGGGAUGGCUUCAUAUGGUUUGAGAGACAAGUAUGUUGGUAAGGCAGUUCUGGCAUGAAUUACUUGGAAAUAUUUCAAGAAUAAUCAGACUGUUUUUCUUAAUUUUUAACUUUUGCUUUCUCUUUAUUUCCCUAAAGGGAUUUAUUUGUCCAGUGCCAAAAAGCACUUAUUAUGAAUUGACAGUGGACCAGAUCAUGGUGAAAUUGUACAGAAACUUAAAUAUCUGAAAUCCCAAAGGUAGAUCUGGCUAGUGAGCCCUUGGGCGAUUUAAACAAUGAUUGUACUUUCAAGAGAGAGGAAAUCAGCAUUAUUUCAUGUCUUGAAAAUGUCUUCUUUCCGAAACAAUGUAACUUAAUGAAUUUGAACAUUUUCUAUAUUUGAACUUGCAUAUAGGACUUCUAUAAUCAAAUGAAAAAGUCACCAGUUUCCUAAUUGUACCUUUAUGAAAAAACUAAAGCAACUAAAAUUAAAAUAAUCAUUCUAAUUUAAGUCAUUUAUAAUAAAUUUAACUCAUACUUCACAAAAUUUCAUUUAUAUAUAUAAAUUUUUAGAAAGCAUGACCCCUAAUUAAUCACAAGGACAUAUCCCAGCCGAUUACUUGGGGACUCUAUCACCUUGGAGAAUUUACUUGCCUGUGCCUCAGUUGUCUUUCCUUAUGCAUGGGUAAUACCUGUACUCACUUCAAGGAAGUUUUAUGAGAUUUAAUAUGUUAAAAUAUUUCAAGACUUUAGAACACUAUCUGGCACAUAAAGACACAGGAGUUAUAUCUCAUCAUAAGCAUAAAUUUGUGAUUUUGAUAAUAGUCAUGUAUUAGAGCUUUUAUCAUUUAAAAUCUUUUAUGAUUCAUUUUUAAUUUAAAGCAGCAAAUAUUGAACAGAAAUAAUUAACCAGGAGGGAAAAACCAACUAACAUAAAAAAUACUCUGUCAUGUUUCACAGUAAAUUGACAGUAGAGACAUUCUCUUCAAGUAAGAUAAAGGGAAACAACCUUUGCUCUCACAACUUUUAUUGUAUUUCUUUCUGAAGGGAGCAAAUAAAAUAGAGCAAGAAAACUGCACUAAAAUUUGAAGCAAUUAGAAAAGAGAUUAAAUCAUCAUUUUGGCAGCUAAUAUCAUUAGUGACUUAAGAACUCAAAAUCGAAAAAUUAAGGAAAUUAAUAAUACAUAAUAUUAGUG